AACCCCUGGCAAAUGGACAAAGAGACAUCUUGUUGGUGGUGGUGUUCUUAGAUCAGACAGGAGCAGAGCAGAUGGCAGUCCUUUGUUCAUCCUAGCUUUAGGCCUGGCUUGUUGGCCAAAGCUGUCUUAUGGCUAGGAAUCAUCU